CGACCGGCGCACGGGUGAGUAACGCGUAUGCAACUUACCUAUCAGAGGGGGAUAACCCGGCGAAAGUCGGACUAAUACCGCAUGAAGCAGGGGCCCCGCAUGGGGAUAUUUGCUAAAGAUUCAUCGCUGAUAGAUAGGCAUGCGUUCCAUUAGGCAGUUGGCGGGGUAACGGCCCACCAAACCGACGAUGGAUAGGGGUUCUGAGAGGAAGGUCCCCCACAUUGGUACUGAGACACGGACCAAACUCCUACGGAAGGCAGCAGA
rnacentral:rRNA from 1 species